rnacentral:lncRNA from 1 species
CUUAAAUGCUAUAUUUUGUAGGUCUUUGAAGUGUUUGAAGAUCACCUAUCUAUAUAAAAUAUGCCUGUUGUUCCUCAGCAUGGUGGCACCCUUGUGUGUGGAGGUGCAGUUCGAAGGUGGUGCACAGCUCCUGUUUGAUGGAGUAAAAAACAUCAAGUCACGUUGCCUGGGCAAGAGGGACCCUGGGACAUCGAAACCUCCUUGUCUGGAUCAAGAAGAACUUGCUAAAAGAGAGGCCAGAGCUGUUCAUCCAGGGAGAGAGUGUGGAGAACUGGACUACCAGCUGCAGGACCAGGACAGCAUCCUCUUUAUCUCCACACUGCAUGGCGGCUGAGGGCUCCUCUGUGAGCCCAAGCACCUUUGCAAGGGGAGCAUGGGACAACCACACCUCUCCUUGGACACUGCUUCCAGGUCCUCAGUCCCCUUUGGCUGCCUCCUCUGCUGUACCCAUGAGCUCCCUUAGGCAGGGAAAAGAGGUCAGGUGCUAAAAAUGAGCAGAGAGGAAGAGCAGAUGCCGGAGCUCAGCACUCCUUCCAGCAGCUGAGGUGGGGAGGGUGCGCCUGUGAUAUGUCAGCAGUAGAGGGGGCUCUAUGCCCAGGUGACCCAGCUGCUUGCCACUCCUUGUGUCUUGGUCUAAGCACUAAGUGACUGCCUGGAAGGCACUCCAUUUUCCUGAGACAUCUUCUUGGGGAAGAUGGAUGAACUGGAGUAACUGAUGAGAAGCUCCUCUCUUGCCAAAGAUUAGAGGAGCCUCCACCUCAGUUUCCCCAUCUGGACACUGAGGACUCUGCUUGUCCCCCACUGAUGUCAUUAUGGAACCCCAGCUGGGGUGACCUAUUCAGAGUUCACCUCCCUCCCCUCCACCCAGCAGCUGCUCUCCUAGCCACACCCCUCCUCCUGCCCCCCUGCAUCCCCAGCCCUUGACCCUGGCUGGCCUCCCCACCCUACAUAGGUCACCAGAUGGGCUCCUGAGACACUCUCCAGGCUGCCUACAACUCUUUCUGCUGAGGGUAGAGAAUGGGAGGAAGUAGUCUAACCUUAGACGGAGGGGGCGGAGCCUCAGUGUGUGUAACUCUCAGCUUCCUGAGACAAGCAGGAUUCGGGUGUGCAGCACCUAGUAGAUACAGAGCUGUGCCCCCCUUUCCUCCAUCCCUUCUGGAAAUCUGGGGACCUUGUGCCUACAACAGCUGACUUUGGGCAAAUAAAAAGACUAGGUUGUUUAAUAUAUAUAUUAUA